GAGGGUAUAGCUCAAGUGGUAGAGCACGUGCUUAGCAUGCACGAGGUUCUUGGUUCAAUCCCCAGUACCUCCA
rnacentral:tRNA from 1 species